rnacentral:rRNA from 1 species
CAAUAGCGUAUAUUAAAGUUGUUGCAGUUAGAACGCUCGUAGUCGGAUUUCGGGGCGGGCCGACCGGUCUGCCGAUGGGUAUGCACUGGUCGGCGCGUCCUUCCUUCCGGAGACCGUCCCUACUCUUAACUGAGCGGGGGCGGGAGACGGGACUUUUACUUUGAAAAAAUCAGAGUGUUUCAAGCAGGCAGCUCGCUCUUGCAUGGAUUAGCAUGGGAUAAUGAAAUAGGACUUUGGUGCUAUUUUGUUGGUUUCGAACACCGAAGUAAUGAUGAGAAGGGACAGUCAGGGGCACUCGUACUCCGCCGAGAGAGGUGAAAUUCUCAGACCAGCGGAAGACGAACCACUGCGAAAGCAUUUGCCAGGGAUGUUUUCACUGA